rnacentral:rRNA from 1 species
CUGCUGCCUUCCGUAGGAGUUUGGACCGUGUCUCAGUUCCAAUGUGGGGGACCUUCCUCUCAGAACCCCUACUGAUCGUCGCCCCGGUGGGCCGUUACCCCGCCGGCAAGCUAAUCAGACGCAUCCCCAUCCUUUACCGGCCGAAGCCUUUGGUCAUGAAAAUAUGCAUCAACAUGACAACAUACGGUAUUAAUCCGCCUUUCGACGGGCUGUCCCAUAGUAAAGGGCAGGUUGGAUACGCGUUACUCACCCGUGCGCCGGUCGCCGAGUA